rnacentral:rRNA from 2 species
UACGUAUGGUGCAAGCGUUAUCCGGAUUUACUGGGUGUAAAGGGAGCGCAGGCGGUGCGGCAAGUCUGAUGUGAAAGCCCGGGGCUCAACCCCGGUACUGCAUUGGAAACUGUCGUACUAGAGUGUCGGAGGGGUAAGCGGAAUUCCUAGUGUAGCGGUGAAAUGCGUAGAUAUUAGGAGGAACACCAGUGGCGAAGGCGGCUUACUGGACGAUAACUGACGCUGAGGCUCGAAAGCGUGGGGAGCAAAC